AGUCUCAUUCUUCACAAAACAUGUUAGCAACCCCAGUUUGGGUUGCACAGGGAGGACUACUGAACUCCUGUUUAUAAGAGAGCUUUGUUGUGUUCAUAUAGCCAGAACCAGACUGUUGGUGCCAGGGAAGGAAGCCGAUAUAUUACAGUCACAAUAAAAGCCACAUUCGGCACUUGCAAAGAGCUCAGAGAUGUGGAUCAACUGGUGUGUGGCUAUGUGCUUCUUAAAAUUCAGAUUCUCAAAUGCUGAGAUCACCCAGCCAUGGAGCCUGGUGCUGCAGGAAGACAAAACUGCACGGAUUGAGUGCGAACAAAAAUAUCUGCACGACAUCAUGUUCUGGUACCGCCAGGGUGCCGAGCCAGGUCUACAGCUCCUCUUUCACUACUAUUAUGCCAAGCGACAGCCUGUAGGCAAUGUUUCUGACCGGUUCACGGCUGAUAUGCCCAAGGCAGAUCGCUUGAUCCUGAAUAUUUCCCCUGCAAAGCCGGAAGAUUCAGCUGUGUAUUUCUGUGCAAGCAGCAGAGACACAGCAGUUCAAAGUAACCUCUCCUUCCUACAAAAUCCUCUGUGUGUCCUCAUCACUCUGCCUGUGUGGGCAACUGUGCUUGGGUGGUACGAUUCAAUUUACCAUGUAUGGACCCAUGUGAGAUUCCAGUUCCUCUGUGGGGCUUCUGGCAAUGGGAAACUCCCAGGCAAAAGCAUGUGCUCCAGAAUCGUCUAA